rnacentral:rRNA from 1 species
GAUGAACGCUGGCGGCGUGCCUAAUACAUGCAAGUCGAGCGCCCACACGUGGAGCUUGUUCCCCUGAGGUUAGCGGCGGACGGGUGAGUAACGCGUGGAUAACCUGCCUUUAAGACGGGGAUAACAUCGGGAAACCGGUGCUAAUACCGCAUAAUAUAUUCAACCGCAUGGUUCAAGAGUGAAAGACGCCUUUGCUGCCCCUAAUAGAUGGAUCCGCGUGGCAUUGGUUAGUUGGUAAGGUAAAGCCCUACCAAGGCAACGAAGCGAAGCCGACCUGAGAGGGUGAUCGGCCACACUGGAACUGAGACACGGUCCAGACUCCUACGGGAGGCAGCAGUAGGGAAUCUUCCGCAAUGGGAGAAAGCCUGACGGAGCAACCCCGCGUGGGUGAAGAAGGUCUUCGGGUUGUAAAACCCUGUUAUUGGGAAAGAACAGAUGUAGAGGUAACAAAGCACGUCAUGACGGUACCAAAACAGAAAGCAACGGCUAACUACGUG